rnacentral:lncRNA from 1 species
CGCUGCUCAUGCAGAACUGGUUUCUUAGCUCUGUCAGCAGAGCACCAUAUGCUCGGGGUUCAUUUAGCUUCUCUCCCUGGCAUUUGUGUAGGCAGUAUCUUGGCUGCAAUGCAACUCGACUGUACUGUACCCCAUUCUUCUAUUUUGGGAAACUUGUCAGAAGAUAAAAUAGCAAAGAAACACAAAAACUGCUGGAGGAUGCUCCAGGGUCUUGCAUUCUAAGUAAUCUAAGAUAAUUUGGCCAAUCAAGGCAGGGGCUUAGCAUACACACGAGAGUUGCUUUCUUAAUUAUGCCUUGUGCUUAGUGUAUAAAAGUGAAUGAAUGUUCUAUUGUUAACACCAGAAAUAAGGGCUGGAGAUUAAGAUACUAUUUGGAAAGUUGCAUGGAUUCUAAAUUGCUGUGCUGCUCUAUAUACCUUGAUGAGAUUUAAACAGAGAAGAUAGCAGAUGUCUUUUGUCUUCGUGAAAGUUAAAAGUUUCCCUUGCUGAAAUUUUCACCAUUGGAGGCAGUUUAUUUAUCAUCAUGGCUUUGAUCAUGUUCCAUCUGCUGAUUAAAAAUCCUUUCCUAAACAAAGCCGUUGAAAGGACAGCAUAGCCAUUGGUGCAGGAAUGAAACCACCACUCAGCACCACUAAUUUUGGAGACUGAAUGCUAUGUUUCAGUGCUUCUAAUCCACAGCCCUUUUACCUCGGGUGUUCCCAAUGAUGCUCAUCUUUGUUAGUCCACAUGGCUGAGAAAGCUUCAAGGCCUUUGGAAGCCAUACACUAAAAAACCCCAAGAUCUGCCUUUCUAGGGUUCUUCCUUUGCUACAUAUUGAGCACUACAGUAACCAUCAAGAAAAAUGUGGGAUAUCUGGAUGAGCUUUUAGAAGGCCUGGAAUAUGGUAUACUCAUGUUGCAUUCUGCUUUGGCUACCUUUGGUCUCCUCCCAGAGAUGCUGGUAAUGGUGGCCCAUUUGGCCUCUUCCAGUGCAGACUCUGAGAUCUCAAGAUGUGCAUACACUGCAUAAAAGCACGAUGCAGAGCUAAUACUGCCUAAACACAUUCCCAUUCCACUGAAUUUGGAGGAUCAAAUAGCAAGGCACUUAAACGUGUGGCUCACUGCAAAUGAAUGUCAGAAGGCAACUAGAAAAACAGAGCUUUUAAGUUAAAAGCUGAGUUUCUGCCACCUCCCUUUUCUCGAUAUUAAACAAAGCUUCAGUUCACUCUCUCUCGAAUAAGCUUAAAAGUUCUCCAAACUUUUUAGCCCUGCAGACGCUAAGAAAUUAUAACAGUAAUCUGUUUUAUGCCUGUCUGUAAAUCUUCAGAGAUGAUGGCUGUAGGAUAACAAAAAAACUAAAAUGGUGGUUUGCUGGCGCUUCCAACACAGUGCUUCUGUCCCCAUCAGUUGUAAACGGUUGCACCAACAGAAACGAUUACAAGUCCCAUGUGUAAGUGAUCAGGACUCAUUGCUGAAGGUUCCCUUACAACUCCCAUUUUAAGCAACAAAAAGGCGUAACAGUAGUUACGUUAUUCCAAAGAAGUGGCUUGAGUUUCCAUUAAUUUGCUAACAAGGGAGCUCCACCAAUUCACAGCAAAAACUGGAAUAAAAUAUCUUGAGAUAUUUCUAGCGGUAUUUUUCUCCACAUUCAAGCUGUAAUUUUUAAAAGAAAGUUGUCUUUGUUUCUUCUCAUUUCCUGUGCCUCUAGAUAGCAAAGGAUAAGCCUUCCUCCUUUCUGUACUUUUGAAAAAUUAAUAAACAUCUAUUAAACAUACUCUUCUAAAAAGUGUUGGAGACAUAACUUCCCUUUCCCACACCACUGUUAAGUCUCUGUGCAAUUACAUGACUUUAGCUAGUGAGUCUCUCUUUGAAAAAAAGUGCAGCUUUGGGCAAUAUAUUUGCUUAGCAAGUUGAUUUGCUGCAGGUCUCAGCACUGCAGAAAAUUAUGUGGUUUAUUUGUAUGAAGAGUAGAAUAUCUUCAGAAGCCUCUAAAGAGUACUGCAAUUGUUUGUACUUUUACAUGCAGAAUAUUAUUAUCAUCAUUAGAUUUAUUACCUGCCCAUCACUAGAAGAUCCCAGGGCAGUUACAGCAAUAUAAACAGUUUAAUUUUUUUUAAUUGGUGUGGGUUGUUUUGUGCUUUCUCUUAUGCCCUCUGUGUAAAAAGCCCCAACAUCUCUGAAGUCUGCUUGCUACUUCAGUGGUAACACAUGUGUAGGGUAGCUUUUUCCCGACUGAGUUUUAAACCCAGUCUUAUCAUUGUGAUAAGAUGAAUGACCCAGUGGACAAUGAAGUCUUGCCCAGUUACAAUACAAAAUGGCUUGAACUGAACCCACAGGCAACAGAGAAAGAGUGAAAAAUGCUUUUGCCUCUGUUGAUGAGGAAGCACCUCUUGGAAUAAAUUCCAUUGGCAGCUAUCAUACACAUUCUUCAGCACCUCCUUGCUUAAAUGCAGACUAUGGUAGAUGGGAAUCACCAUCUCACCAGGGACCAUCUUUUCGCUUGUACAGAGGUCGAUUUUCUCUUCUUCUGGACAAUGAGAACUCUAGCGUAACAGUUUCAGUGUGGCCGAUACUUAAGGACAGUGCUGCCUGCCCCACCGCAUUGUGCUAAACUGUUUCAGCAGCACUGAGUUACUGAAAUGUGACUGCCUCGGUCCCACUAGUGCUUCCAUUGCUCUUCAAAAGCUACGUAGCAUUUUGUCACCUCUCAGUUCACUCAGUAAUAUCGCUCAUGUUAGCAGACCACUUGUGGGAACUGCCCUUUAAACAACAGUGAGAGAUUCUGCCACUCACUUCCAGCUCCUUAGCUGUGCCAAACUGAGAAGACGACACUUCUGCACUUGAGAAUUCUUGCCUUAGCAGAGUGCCACACUUUCCAAAACAAGGAUGGCAGCUGUGUGUAAAACGUAACGGUAAAGGACCCCUGGACAGUUAAGUCCAGUCAAAGGCAACCACGGGGUGUGGCACUCAUCUUACUUCAGGCUGAGGGAGAGGGCUUUGGCCACAGACAGCUUUCUGGGUGAUGUGGCCAGCAUGACUAAACCGCUUCUGGCACAAUGGAACACCAUGACGGAAGCCAGAGCACACAGAAACGCCGUUUACCUUCCCGCCACAGAGAUACCUAUUUAUCUGAUUGCACUGGUGUGCUUUCGAACUGCUAGGUUGGCAGGAGGUGGGACAGAGCAAUGGGAGCUCACCCCGUUGGGUGGAUUUGAACUGCCAACCUUCUGAUCGGCAAGCCAAAGAGGCUCAAGUGGUUUGGACCACAGUGCCACCCACAUCCCCUUUCGGCUGCAUGUACACUGGUGUUACCACCACAAAGUGUGUAAGAUGAAAAUAUGUACAUUUUUGAGCACCCAUACAGGUUUCACAAACCUGAGUGGGCCAGGGUUCCUAGGUACAUGGUUGUGUGACAUCACCUGACAUGAGGUGGUGGUGUAGCACUGCCACACACACACACCAGUUGUAUUUGCAUAGCAAAGGAACUGUUCUUACAAAAGAGUUUUUCAACUAUUUUAUGAAAACUACUGCUGUAUACUAUUUAGUGCUUGCUAACAUUGUAAGAAAACCACCGGUAUGAAGUUUACGGCAUGUAAUGCCUUAAAAGAGAAUUUAAUGAAAAUGAUUUACAGGUGGUACAUAACACCAGUCAAGCUUGCAAAAAUUUAUCAUUUGUCCGAUAAUAAAUGUUGGAAAUGUAAUGAAACUGAAGGCACAUUCUUUCACCUUUGGUGGACAUGCCCAAGGAUUAAGGCAUUCUGAGAGAUGAUUUAUAAUGAAAUGAAAAAGGUAUUUAAAUACACCUUUCUAAAGAAACCAGAGGCCUUUCUCCUGGACAUGGUAGGCCAAUUGGUGCCAAAGAAGGACAGAACUUUUUUCAUGUAUGCCACAACAGCAGCAAGAAUACUUAUUGCAAAGCACUGGAAGACACAAGAUCUACCUACCAAGGAAGAAUGGCAGAUGAAGCUGAUGGAUUACAUGGAACUGGCGGAAAUGACUGGCAGAAUCCGAGACCAGGGAGAAGAGUCGGUGGAAGAAGACUGGAAAAAAUUUAAAGUAUAUUUACAGAAACAUUUUCUUUUUUGUUCUUUUUUCUUCUCUUUUUUCCUCCUAUUUUUUUUAAAGGUGUUUUUUCUUUUUUUUCUUUUUUUUAAUGUUAUGAUAUAUUGUUGAGGUUUUGUAUUAUUGUAUUUCCUUAUGUUUUUGAGGUUUUGUAAUUGUUUAUUGCUUGUAUUUCUUCUUUUUCUCUUUUUUUUGUAAUAUUUAAACUCUAAUAAAUAUCUUUAAAAAAAAAGAAAAGAAAACAUCCCAGAAUACUGUGUUGUUUUUAAUGUGCCAUUGUAGUUUGCCAGUAUAACAAUAUGAACAAAGUUUAGGAUUUCAGGCUGGAAAUGGAAGGUAAUUAUCUGAUCUGCAUUGUCUCUAGCAGCUGAAAGUCUUUUUAAAUUUGAAUGAACGAGCAUGGAAGGAUUUUCUUGGUGUUGGACAAAAUGGAUUGCAGUGUAAUAAAGAUGAAUGCCUUAAUUGGUGAGAAAGUCAUCUUAUUAACUCCUCUAUAUAUUUAGAAUUUAUAGGGAGUAGUGCAUAAAAGAUGAAAAGUGAUUUGCAAAUCUGAUGCCCAUCUUCCUCAAAUUUGUAGAGGUUUUUUUUGCUUACAGUACUAAAAAUGUGCCAUAGAAGCAGGUUUUCUUUUUAAACCCACUAUAUUUCAGAUAACAUUUUAAAAUAUUUCCCCAAUAAAUUAGUGUAGUGACAUGUUUGUAGGGGUUCAUUGUUAAUUUCAUUUCCUCUUGCUCAGCCAGCCUGACAACAAAACAGCAAGUCAUUAAUCUUAGUUUAAAAGAAGAUUCUUUUUUUGUGUGUGGAACAAUAAUGAAUGACCUUGAUAGAUUUGUCAGGAAAAUGAAUGAUAAUCAUUUGCUGAUCGACACAGCCCUAGCAAGGAAGAUUAAUAAGAAAGUAUGCAUUGACAUCAUUAAAAAUGUCUGCUGCCAAGGGACUUACACGUCAAUUACAAUUGAGGCACCUAGGGUAGUGCUGUUAUAUAAUAAUAAUAAUAAUUUUUAUUUAUACCCCGCCCUCCCCAGCCAAGGCCGGGCUCAGAGUGGCUUACAAGCAAUAAUAAAAAAAGUUAAAUGAUUACAAC